UGGGGAAUAUUGCACAAUGGGCGCAAGCCUGAUGCAGCCAUGCCGCGUGUGUGAAGAAGGCCUUCGGGUUGUAAAGCACUUUCAGCGAGGAGGAAGGUGGUGAGCUUAAUACGCUCAUCAAUUGACGUUACUCGCAGAAGAAGCACCGGCUAACUCCGUGCCAGCAGCCGCGGUAAUACGGAGGGUGCAAGCGUUAAUCGGAAUUACUGGGCGUAAAGCGCACGCAGGCGGUUUGUUAAGUCAGAUGUGAAAUCCCCGGGCUCAACCUGGGAACUGCAUUUGAAACUGGCAAGCUAGAGUCUCGUAGAGGGGGGUAGAAUUCCAGGUGUAGCGGUGAAAUGCGUAGAGAUCUGGAGGAAUACCGGUGGCGAAGGCGGCCCCCUGGACGAAGACUGACGCUCAGGUGCGAAAAGCGUGGGGCAGCAAACAGGAUUAGAUACCCUGGUAGUCCACGCUGUAAACGAUGUCGAUUUGGAGGUUGUG
rnacentral:rRNA from 1 species